GACGAACGCUGGCGGCGUGCUUAACACAUGCAAGUCGAACGGAAAGGCCCUGCUUUUGUGGGGUGCUCGAUUGGCGAACGGGUGAGUAACACGUGAGUAACCUGCCCUUGACUUUGGGAUAACUUCAGGAAACUGGGGCUAAUACCGGAUAGGAGCUCCUGCUGCAUGGUGGGGGUUGGAAAGUUUCGGCGGUUGGGGAUGGUCUCGCGGCUUAUCAGCUUGUUGGUGGGGUAGUGGAUUACCAAGGCUUUGACGGGUAGCCGGCCUUGGAGGGUGACCGGCCACAUUGGUACUGAGAUACGGACCAGACUCCUACGGGCGGCAGCAGUGGGGAAUAUUGCACAACGGGCGGAAGCCAGAUGCAGCAACGCCGCGUGCGGAAUGACGGCCUUCGGGUUGUAAACCACUUUCGCCUGUGACGAAGCGUGAGUGACGGUAAUGGGUAAAGAAGCACCGGCUAACUACGUG
rnacentral:rRNA from 1 species